rnacentral:tRNA from 1 species
GCACGUGUGGCCAAGUGGUUAAGGCGCCGCACUCGUAAGAAAAGCAGAUUUGCUGAUAUGCGGAGAUCGAGGGUUCAACUCCCUCCAUGUGCA